AAUGAACGCUGGCGGCAGGCCCAACACAUGCAAGUCGAACGGAUCCUUCGGGAUUAGUGGCGGACGGGUGCGUAACGCGUGGGAACAUACCCUUUGGUACGGAAUAGCCUCGGGAAACUGGGAGUAAUACCGUAUGUGGUCGAGAGACGAAAGAUUUAUCGCCAAAGGAUUGGCCCGCGUGGGAUUAGGUAGUUGGUGGGGUAAUGGCCUACCAAGCCGACGAUCCAUAGCUGGUUUGAGAGGAUGAUCAGCCACGCUGUGACUGAGACACGGCCCAGACUCCUACGGGAGGCAGCAGUGGGGAAUUUUAGACAAUGGGGGAAACCCUGAUCUAGCCAUGCCGCGUGAUCGAUGAAGGCCUUGGGGUUGUAAAGAUCUUUCAGGUGGGAAGAUAAUGACUGUACCACCAGAAGAAGCCCCGGCUAACUCCGUGCCAGCCGCCGCCGUAA
rnacentral:rRNA from 1 species